GUGGGGAAUCUUGCGCAAUGGGCGAAAGCCUGACGCAGCCAUGCCGCGUGAAUGAUGAAGGUCUUAGGAUUGUAAAAUUCUUUCACCGGGGACGAUAAUGACGGUACCCGGAGAAGAAGCCCCGGCUAACUUCGUGCCAGCAGCCGCGGUAAUACGAAGGGGGCUAGCGUUGCUCGGAAUUACUGGGCGUAAAGGGCGCGUAGGCGGACAGUUUAGUCAGAGGUGAAAGCCCAGGGCUCAACCUUGGAAUUGCCUUUGAUACUGGCGAUCUUGAGUGUGAGAGAGGUAUGUGGAACUCCGAGUGUAGAGGUGAAAUUCGUAGAUAUUCGGAAGAACACCAGUGGCGAAGGCGACAUACUGGCUCAUUACUGACGCUGAGGCGCGAAAGCGUGGGGAGCAAACAGGAUUAGAAACCCUAGUAGUCC
rnacentral:rRNA from 1 species